GCUCAUGUGAUCAGUCACAUUAUAAUGAGCCUGGAUUACUGCAGUGCGGUGCGGGACGUGACAGUGAUCCUGUCCUGUCCUAAUACACACGUCCACGUCAUCAGCACUGAGGGUCAGUUAGAAACGACCCCUGCAUCGCAACAGGCCACUGAGAUUACAAAUGUGACCCCAUCAUCUCUAAUACCUGUUGUUUAGUCACACAUUUCCAGGCAAACGGAUCUUAUUUGUCCGGUGAGCAGUGGGAACCCCAUGGAGGAGGCUGGUGAUGAAAGCACAUCUAUGUUUAUCAGCUCGUUCAGCCCUGCAGGCGUCUAAUGGAGAGAGUGUGACCAGCUGAUGCUGACCAACGCAUGACCCAGCUGGGCUUCUCCUGAGACGUGUGUGUGUUGUGUUUAUGACUUCAUCUCUUAACGAGUACAGCCUAAGGACGCUGACGAUGUUGUGCGAUUGAAACGGAAGAAAUGGGCUUCCAUAAGGAAAAAUGACUGGCAUUCGCGGUGCAAAACUCCCUUCAGUGAGAACCAGCAUAACUUCAGGAAUCCCUCAUGUCUUACUCAUCAGAGAUCACAAAACACAUGAAGACCUGAGAUGACAGUCGAGCCCUUGAAAUGAAGACGUCUGGAAUGUGGCAAAGUGGAUCUUGCUCACCGAUGCGGCGUGUUUGAGGGGAAAUGAGUGUGUUAUUGUCUGAGAAGCAGUGUUUGAGUGUUCGUUUGCUCUCGACUGAGGUCAAGUGGAAGUGAAAGUGUUAUGUAGGUCAAAACAAAUCCCAGACAUCAGGUGACAGUCAGACUUCCUGACACUCCCCCUGCUGGCCUGAGCGGCUCACUGCAGACAGCAGUAUAAAGCUCCGAUGCACUACAAACUCAUUUAGAGAAAACACUCCGAUUCACCAAUAAAUCAGUAGCAUCAAUCCAAAAAUAAGCUUUUCAUAAGCUCAUGAAUCAGCUAAAGGGAAAAAAUAAAAUGGUGAAAUGUUAAAGAAAUAAAACACUAACAUCUGUGUGUCAUGGACUAGCAUUUUAUUUACAAAAACAUGGAGCACAAAUGAAAAACGUCGCUCACUGUCAUGUGACGUACAAACACAAGGGCGCUUCUACACGACAUCAGCAGUUAAA